rnacentral:rRNA from 1 species
AGAGUUUGAUCAUGGCUCAGGAUGAACGCUAGCGGCAGGCCUAAUACAUGCAAGUCGAACGGUCCGCAAGGAUAGUGGCAAACGGGUGCGUAACGCGUAAGCAACCUGCCCCAUACCGGGGGAUAGCCUGGCGAAAGCGGGGUAAACCCGCAUAGUCCCUUUCUGCUUCAUGGCGGGUCGGGUAAACAUUUAUGGGUAUGGGAGGGGCUUGCGUCUGAUUAGUUAGUUGGCGGGGUAACGGCCCACCAAGACGGUGAUCAGUAGGGGUUCUGAGAGGAUUGGCCCCCACAUGGGUACUGAGAUACGGACCCAACUCCUACGGGAGGCAGCAGUAGGGAAUAUUGGGCAAUGGAGGCAACUCUGACCCAGCCAUGCCGCGAGCAGGAUGAAGGCGCUCAGCGUCGUAAACUGCUUUUAUCUGGGAAGAWCUGUGGGCCUGCUGGGCUUAUUUKAUGGUACCAGAGGAAUAAGCACCGGCUAACUCCGUGCCAACAGCCGCGGUAAUAAG